UCCACGCCGUAAACGAUGUCGACUUGGAGGUUGUGCCCUUGAGGCGUGGCUUCCGGAGCUAACGCGUUAAGUCGACCGCCUGGGGAGUACGGCCGCAAGGUUAAAACUCAAAUGAAUUGACGGGGGCCCGCACAAGCGGUGGAGCAUGUGGUUUAAUUCGAUGCAACGCGAAGAACCUUACCUGGUCUUGACAUCCACAGAACUUUCCAGAGAUGGAUUGGUGCCUUCGGGAACUGUGAGACAGGUGCUGCAUGGCUGUCGUCAGCUCGUGUUGUGAAAUGUUGGGUUAAGUCCCGCAACGAGCGCAACCCUUAUCCUUUGUUGCCAGCGGUCCGGCCGGGAACUCAAAGGAGACUGCCAGUGAUAAACUGGAGGAAGGUGGGGAUGACGUCAAGUCAUCAUGGCCCUUACGACCAGGGCUACACACGUGCUACAAUGGCGCAUACAAAGAGAAGCGACCUCGCGAGAGCAAGCGGACCUCAUAAAGUGCGUCGUAGUCCGGAUUGGAGUCUGCAACUCGACUCCAUGAAGUCGGAAUCGCUAGUAAUCGUGGAUCAGAAUGCCACGGUGAAUACGUUCCCGGGCCUUGUACACACCGCCCGUCACACCAUGGGAGUGGGUUGCAAAAGAAGUAGGUAGCUUAACCUUCGGGAGGGCGCUUACCACUUUGUGAUUCAUGACUGGG
rnacentral:rRNA from 2 species